rnacentral:rRNA from 1 species
GACGAACGCUGGCGGCGUGCUUAACACAUGCAAGUCGAACGGAAAGGCCCCUUUGGGGGUACUCGAGUGGCGAACGGGUGAGUAACACGUGAGUAACCUGCCCUUGACUUCGGGAUAACUUCAGGAAACUGGGGCUAAUACCGGAUAGGAAUCCUUGCUGCAUGGUGGGGGUUGGAAAGCUUCGGCGGUUUUGGAUGGACUCGCGGCUUAUCAGCUUGUUGGUGGGGUAGUGGCUUACCAAGGCUUUGACGGGUAGCCGGCCUGAGAGGGCGACCGGCCACAUUGGGACUGAGAUACGGCCCAGACUCCUACGGGAGGCAGCAGUGGGGAAUAUUGCACAAUGGGCGGAAGCCUGAUGCAGCAACGCCGCGUGCGGGAUGACGGACUUCGGGUUGUAAACCGCGUUCAGCAGGGGCGAAGCUUGUGGUGACGGUACCUGCAGAAGAAGAACCGGCUAACUACGUG